CGAGAAGCGCAUCUUGUACUCGCGGGAUGCACACGACGCAGUUAUCUCCCGUUGCCGGCGAGCAGGAAAAGCGUUAGAGGACUCGGACGUGUUGUUGCUGCGGGAAGACCACGACUUGGAAACUACGAACCAACCGAUGUUGCUGCUACGAAACGGAAGACUGCUUCGCUCUUUUAUCAACCAGUAUAAUCGAGGUCGUAAUUAACACUUUGGCGGCUUCGAGCGUCCAUCGUCGUUACGUAAGACUCAUUUAAUUCAUUCGAUUUUAAAUGCAUGUCAUAUCCGUUCCUAUAAAUAUACAUAGUCACAGACAAAUAUUGUGCAUUUAUGCGUGCAAGGUGACAAGCAUGUUUUUUUUUAGAAUAUAUCCCUAUCUGUUUUCUCAAAAAAUGUAUUUGUCAACGAACGGUUUUGUCAAGCAAUAACGUGCACUUUUACUAUGGAAAAAGACACGGUCACCCUAUAUACGCGCUUGCAUACAUAUGCGGGGCUAUUGUUCCGUCGCAGGCUUCAAGUUCGCGGCCUCUCGAGACGUUUCGUCAUUCUUGCGGAGUUCCCUUUGUCACCCGUGCUCUUAAAAGACAUUCCGCGAAACGCCGGAAUGAAAAGAGAUAACUAGCGGCGAUCGUAUAGAAGAAUUUUGCUCUAACGAGCGGCGAGACUUUUGUGUAUCUUUCACGGAAAGAUUCGAUUGAAUCGGGGCGCCAAGUCCGUCGUUUAACGGACUAUAAAUGACGAAGAUACGCCACCAUUAUAUUUUUAUCCGUCGAUAUAUGACUUCGCCGCCGAACGCGUCGCAUAUCAAUCACAAUAGAAGCGUCCCGCCUCUCUCCUCUAUUUUAUGCAAUUCCCGAGGCGUCGCGACGACCUAAAGAGACUCCCGGUGAGGGUGCAUUUCCGUUAAACUUCCCGAUCGCCGCAGGGUGCGAAAACCUCCUACCCUCUCGCUCUCUCACUCUGUCGAAAGGGGGAGAUUUCGGUCCCUUCUACUUCUCUCCCAUUUCUUUUUUCGGCGCAGUUUGGCCCUUCAAACCUAUCGCGUUUCGUUCCUCGACGUCUUUACCCGGCCACGCCGGGUUCCAUCAACGCCUGUCGUUUAGCCCGCGGCGGCGCGUUGACGAAAGCAAAAGUGAUUAGAUGAAGAUAGAGUGGAGAACGAGAGGGCAGGGCCCGCGAGAGGAAAUUGCCGGGAUGCCGAGGCAUUUUCGUGAGACCUUUUUCUCGAGCGGGCAGACGCGCAAUUAUUCAGCGAGAUCUUCUUUUUAAUCUUUUCGUAAUUUAGAUUUAAGAAUUUUUUUCUAAGUUUUUUUUUGUGUUUUAAAAAUCCAUUAAAUAUGCUGGAGCAAUUAUCUUUGUCAUUAAUCGUUAUGUUUCAGUCUUGCGUUUUUUUUUUAUAUGCUUAAAUUUAUACUAAUCGUUUAAUUGCUUUUUCUUUCGAUCCUGUAGUAUUGAUAUAAAAUCAAUUUUUUUUCUUAAAAAAAAAACUAUUUCUUUUUCCAAAUCUUCUUAAGGGAAAAUGUUCUUUAAAAUAUUAUUAAAUUUGUUGAAAAAAUUCGGACAGUAGUUCUCGUACAUUUCAUAUCGUAUCUGUCGCCGUCACGCGGCGCGAUAUUAUGUAUUCCUAGCUGUCGCUCGCGAUUUUCCGAUUUUCGUAAAGUGUCAGACGGUGUUUGGCCGUCUCUACGUUGUAUUAUCACGGAGACGCGAGAGAGCGCGCGACGUUAACUACGCAUAUAAGUAAUUAAAUACGACGAAGCGCGACGCUAAGAUUUUUCCCCGCUUCCCGCACGAUUCAUUAUCAUCACUGUCGUCGUCAGUACGUAUAGUUAAUGAAAGAAAAUGCAGGAGAAUCCGAGAUAUACUCACGCCGUGUGAUACCUAUAAAAUUUAGAUAUUUAAUUUCAUCCACAUUACGACUUUCUCGAAUUUAUUCCGGGAACUUUGACUCCCUAAAGUAUCAUUGGCGAAUUUCGAAACAACGCUGUAUGAAAUGUUCCCGGCAUCCCGCGCUUUCUCUCAAUCGCUAAGGGCCAAAACGCAAAUUGGCGAACUUUCAGAUCUGCGUACAAUAGAUACGAAGUCGCGCGGCAACAAUGAGUCUCGUAUCGAGGUGAAUCUCCUUGGAAUAAUUCACGGCAUUUCUCGGGAAAAACGGAAGCCGCGAAGAAAGUUGCGUCCGUCUCGGUUGUUAAAGAUCGCCGCGGGGCUGGUGGAUUUCUUCGGUCUUCGUCUUGGACCCGGUGGUUAUCGUCUGGGACUAAUGAGAGGAAGCUCGCGUCGAAAGAACGUAUCGCGCUGUCCAUAUAUUCAGUCCAUACCUUUAUCUUUUCAAGACGACUCACUGCUUUCUUAUCGUCAGUCCGGAGAAAAGUUCCGUGGUCACGGGCAUCCGGUUUUCAUUUUGUUCACUUUGUACAAUACAAAUCUAUACCGUCUCAAGGUUUAGUUUGUCCCUUAUAAAAAGAGUAUAAUACUGUACAUUCUUCCUGAAUUUACUAGAAAUUUAAAAACUAAAAAGUAUAUACCUAUAUAUAAGUAUAUAUAACAGCAAAUUUUUUUAUGAUUAAACUGUUUGAAGAAGCGAUGUGAAAGAAAUUUCUGAUAUUCAUUUAUGUAAAAAAAAAAAAAAAAAAAAAACAUUUGCAUAAGAUAUACAAUGUCCCGGAUGCCAUAUAUAUACGAGUAUAAAUAAAAUUGAAAAUAUGAUUUUUUGCGAGUGUUCACACAAAUUAAUAGGCAUACUGCAGGUGAUCGUAUAACCCAGGACUUUUUUCUUUUUUUUUAGCGUUUAGCUUGCAACGGAAACGCGUCUAUCCGACCUCUCGAGCGUCGACAAUAUUCAUGGUAAUCCAAUUCAAAUUAAUUCUUGGUAGUGGGGAGUCGCUCUUCGUUCGCGCGCGCAUCUCCCUUCUACUAAAUGGCGUCUCAUAACCCGCUCGGAGGAGGUUUGUAACCGGAAGUGACGUGAAAUAUCGCGCUGCGACGUAAUCGGUCUCCCUCUCUGUCUCUCUUGCUUUCCCGGUGCUCUAUCUAUUGCCGCAGACCGGCGGAUCUCUUCGAGGUUUCUCUAAUUGUUACCACGGGCCUCCGCGAUGUUAAUCACGUGGCCGGGCUGAGACAGUAAUUCAGCAUUACGGUGAGGCAUAACUCCUAUUCACAUCCGCGGGCAAUACCGGUUACCUAUCUGUCGGCUUAUUGACUAGCGUUUAUUAGGUCCGCGCAAGUAAUCGCGAUGUAAUUGGAAGAGUAAUUUGAUGUUGGGAAUUUGGGACGAUGGCGUCUUCCAGCAUGGGCGAAGGAUAUUGCGUAUUCUAAAAAUCCUAUCGUGAACAAUAUACAUAUAAUUUCUAUAGAGAGUGAAUGCACUUAAUUAAAAUAUCAAAUUUUUUAAAUUUUUUUAAGAAAAAAGAAUUUUCUAAACAUUUAGAAUUAUAUAAAAUAAUUUUUGGGUAUAUUUAAUAAUAAGUACAAUAAAAGAAUGUUGAACAUACAAGACUCUUAAAAUCUUUUAAAUGUUUUUUUAUUAAUCUAUUCUACUAUUAUACUAUUCAGAAAUAAAUAAUCUAUGAUUUAAUCGUUCACAAUGUUUAAAGAAAAUUUGUAGUUUUAUCAUAAGUUACGAACAAUUAAAGGCGCCAAAAAGUUUAUUCUAUUUAUAAUUAAAUAUAUAAUUAAAAUCUCGAAAGAAUUUACUCAAUAUCUAUCAAAAUGUAACCAAAUAAAUGAGAAAGAAAAUGAAAAAAA